UACGGAGGUGGCAAGCGUUACUCGGAAUUAUUGGGUGUAAAGGGCAUGUAGGUGGGUUUGUAAGUCGAAUGUGAAAUACCUUUGCUUAACGAAGGAACUGCAUUCGAAACUGCUUAUCUUGAGUAUGGGAGAGGAAAGGGGAAUUCCCGGUGUAAGGGUGAAAUCUGUAGAUAUCGGGAGGAACACCAGUGGCGAAGGCGCCUUUCUGGCCCGAUACUGACACUGAAAUGCGAAAGCUACGGGAG
rnacentral:rRNA from 1 species